UUUCAAAGAAAAACAUAAACUGGUGGGUGCCCAGUGUGCAGUGGCUGCACACAGUAACCUCCUCGGUAGUGUAUGCAGCCUGCUGCUUGUAUAGGCUGCCCUAAGGGACCUUGGAGACACUC
rnacentral:snoRNA from 1 species